rnacentral:rRNA from 1 species
UUCCGUAGGUGAACUGCGGAAGGAUCAUU